rnacentral:rRNA from 1 species
UACAGAGGUCUCAAGCGUUGUUCGGAUUCAUUGGGCGUAAAGGGUGCGUAGGCGGCGCGGUAAGUCGGGUGUGAAAUCUUGGAGCUUAACUCCGAAACUGCAUUCGAUACUGCCGUGCUUGAGGACUGGAGAGGAGACUGGAAUUUACGGUGUAGCGGUGAAAUGCGUAGAUAUCGUAAGGAAGACCAGUGGCGAAGGCGGGUCUCGUGGACAGUUCCUGACGCUGAGGCACGAAGGUCAGGGAGCAAACGGG